AUACUUACCUGGCAGGGGAGAUACCAUGAUCACGAAGGUGGUUUUCCCAGGGCGAGGCUUAUCCAUUGCCCUCUGGAUGUGCUGACCCUUGCGAUUUUCCCAAGUGUGGGAAACUCGACUGCAAAAUUUUUGGUAACGGGGGACUGCGUUCGCACUUUCCCCUA
ensembl:snRNA U1 U1 spliceosomal RNA